rnacentral:tRNA from 1 species
GGGCCGUUAGCUCAGUUGGUUAGAGCAGAGGACUCAUAAUCCUUUGGUCGCUGGUUCGAGUCCAGCACGGCCCACCA